rnacentral:tRNA from 1 species
GGGGAUGCAGCUCAGCAGUGGAGCACUUGGCUAGCAUGCAUGAGGCCCUGGGUUCCAUCUCCAGCACUCCCA